UUUAACUGGUCUGCUUCUCCUCGUAGGGUCCCCUGUGCCCUGUUGGACCUGGACCGGGUGGACCGGGCGGACCGGGCCCUGCUGGACCCAUGGGCCCCUACAACCCGAACCCGUACCAGCCCGGACCCCCUGGUGGACCUCCACACGGUGGUCCUCCUGGCGGUCAGUAUCCUCAGGGCUGGGGAAACACGUACCAGCAGUGGCAGCCACAUGAUCCCACUAAAGCAGCAUCCACA